rnacentral:rRNA from 1 species
AGAAUCAACGCUGGCGGCGUGCCUAACACAUGCAAGUCGCACGAGAAAGGGACUUCGGUCCUGAGUACAGUGGCGCACGGGUGAGUAACACGUGAAUUAUCUACCUCCGAGUGGGGAAUAACUGAGAGAAAUCUUAGCUAAUACCGCAUAACACUUACGAGUCAAAGCAGCAAUGCGCUUGGAGAGGAGUUCGCGGCAGAUUAGUUAGUUGGCGGGGUAAUGGCCCACCAAGACGAUGAUCUGUAUCCGGCCUGAGAGGGCGCACGGACACACUGGAACUGAAACACGGUCCAGACUCCUACGGGAGGCAGCAGUGGGGAAUUUUGCGCAAUGGGGGAAACCCUGACGCAGCAACGCCGCGUGGAGGAUGAAAUAUCUUGGUAUGUAAACUCCUUUCGAUAGGGAAGAUAAUGACGGUACCUAUAGAAGAAGCCCGGCUAACUUCGCGCCAGCAGCCGC